GAGGGCACCCGAGCAUAGAAAUGGCAAGAAAGAAAGGAAAAAAAUUAAAAAAAAACCGCACGUAAAAUCUAAAAAAAACGCAAACGGACAACGAAAAAGGGGGGGGGGGGGGUGCAACACGAAAACUUCGCAGGGGUCACCCAUCCUAGUACUACUCUCGCCCAAGCACGCUUAACUGCGAAGUUCUGAUGGGAUCCGGUGCAUUAGUGCUGGUAUGAUCGCACCCAAAAUACUAUCCAUCAGAAUUGUUUUUAUGUGUUACAAGACGCAGAACCUCCUUUGUUUUGGUACGCGGGGCGUGGGACCCACGUGACCGAUCGGCUCCGUUCCAAAAAUACGAAAAGCAUCAACCAUGAACCGGAGGGCACCCGAGCAUAGAAAUAGAAAGAAAGAAAGGAAAAAAAAGCAAAAAACCGCACGUAAAUGUUGGAUUAAUGUCUAAGUCCAUAACUAUAAUUGGUAAGACUUGACCCGUCUGCAUUUUAGCACUUCCAGGUUUUGGAAAAAGUUUCAUUAUGAGUUGGGCACUCAUCUGCAUUUUAGCACUGCCUUUCACCUGCAGAUGGAUGGUCAGAGCGAAUGGACCAUCGAGACUUUGGAGGAUAUGUUGCGGGCAUGCAUGCUAGUCUUUGGUGGUAACUGGGAUACCUAUCUUCCCUUGGCUGAGUUCUCGUACAACAACAGCUACCAUGCAAGUAUUAACUGUCCCCCAUUCGAGAUGUUGUACGGACGGAGGUGUAGGAUCCCGAUAUGUUGGGGUGAAGUUGGCCAGAGGGUCAUGGGGAGCACCGUGGUGGUGCUCAAGACGACCGAGAGAAUCCAGUAGGUUCGAAGCAGGCUGCAGACUGCGCAGAGUCGGCAGAAAAGUUACGCCGACAAGCGCCGAUCAGACCUGGAGUUUCAGGUCGGGGAUAUGGUUCUCCUAAAAGUGUUGCCUUGGAAGGGCGUCAUUCGAUUCAGGAAGCGGGGCAAGUUCGGCCAAGAUACAUUGGUCCGUUCAGGGUUGUAGCCCGGGUGGGGAAGGUGGCAUAUAGGCUGGAUCUACCAGCCGAGCUCAGUCAGAUCCACAGGACCUUCCAUGUCUCCCAGCUGCGGAAGUUCCUAGUGGAUGAUUCAGUAGUGGUGCCGUUAGAGGAUAUCCAGGUUGAUGACAGCCUGAAUUACAUUGAACGCCCAGUCGCAAUCCUCGACCGGAAGUCGAAGGAUCUGAGGAACAAGAGGGUGGAAUUAGUGAAGGUGAAAUGGCAGUACCGAAAGGGUUCAGAGUGGACUUGGGAGCUUGUGGAAGAAAUGAUGGAGCAUUACCCCGAGAUGCUUCAGGAUCGAGCAGCAGACUUCGAGGGCGAAGUCUAAAAUAAGUGGGGGAGAUUUGUAGCACCUGGUUCCUGGUAUGUGAAAUUUAUCUAAGUGUUUUGCAUUUUUAGCAUUGGACUCGGCGAGUUGUAGGACCGACUCGCCGAGUAGAGACGGGAUAUGGAUCACGUUUAAGUUGGCGACUCGGUGAGUCCAUAUUCUGGACUCGGCGAGUCCCUGUUGUCUGAUGAAACCCUAAAUUCCAAGGGUUUGCACCCUAUUUAAACCAACCUUAUGCGCACCAACCUCGCCCCCUUCACCCUAAGAGCUCCCUAUAUCGUCCAACCCUUGUUACUUGUGAGAUUGAAGUGAUUUGGUGUGUUUUCUUGAAGAUUUUGAGAGAAUAGAAGAGUAGAUCAAGAAGAGAAGAAGGAGGCCAGACAUCUUGGUGUUAUUUCAGUGAUCCCCUUGAGGUAUAACUCAUUUUCCCUCUGUUUCCAUGUUUAUAGUCCCUUAUAGCUCCAUUAAAGUCCUUCUUGAGCCAUUUCCAAGCUUGAGUAUGAUUUAGGGUCUAUAAUAAGUUGGUUAACCUUUGGAUCUAGGCAUGAUUGAGCUCCAGGAGCUCGGAUCUACUGCCUUUAUGGAGCCAUAUUGCAUGAAAGCCCUAGAUCUACCCUUUUAGUGCAUUUUGAGCCCUAAAACCUUCAUUGGUGUUUAUUUACACGUAAAGUUGGAAACUUUACGUGUUAAUCAAGCCUUAGAAACCCAGAUCUAUGUAUGGAAUGAGAUGGAUUCAAGCAAAAUUAAGUAUAUAAUAUUUGCAUGUGAAUGACUCGGCGAGUCGUUCAUUGGACUCGACGAGUCGAGUCGCGAGUCCCCGAGUUUUCCCCCUUUUCGUGUUUGCGGAGUGGAAUAGUGAGUCAUGGGGUGUGACUCAGUGAGUCGGAAGCCAGACUUACCCAUGAAGGAACUCGGCGAGUCAAUGCCCUGACUCUGCGAGUUCAAGGAAAUCUUCUUGCCUCAAGGACAGACUCGGCGGGUUGUUCAUACAACUCGGCGAGUCUGAGCAUAGCAUGUUCUUCAGAUGAAGAUGAACUCGACGAGUUGUUCAUACAACUCGGCGAGUAGGAUGAAGGACUAUUGGACUUUGGGUUAGAAGGAAAACUCGUCGAGUCAAUGCCUAACUCGAUGAGUAGAGACGGGAUUUUGGACAAUCAAAUGAAUAGGGACUCGGCNCUCGGCGAGUCUGGUCAACUGGCAGUUGACUGUGAUUUGACUCUUGAUUUGUUAAGGGUAAAUGGUCAAUUUACCCUGAAAUCGGUAAGCAGUAUUUGACUGAGUAUUUUGUGGGAAUUAUAGCCGAAGGAUUUCCAGGGCAGCAGCAGUAGAGGAAAGUCAGUUUCCACGCAGAUCAGCAGCUACUUUGAGGUGAGUUACCUUCCAGUAGCGGUGGGUCUACGGCCACAAUGCCGGCCCACCAGUAGGAGUUGUAUGAUAGAUGAUUGUCUCUGUGAUAUUCAUCUAAGGUUGCUACUACCUGUGUUAUGUUUAUGUGCUAGUAUGAUAUGAUGCUAUGCGCUAUGUGUUAUGUGGUAGCAGUAGGGGGUGAAAUAGUCCCCAGUAUCCGGUCGUAAGGACCUAAGGGGAGGCCAACACCCAGAUAUGCUAGGCAGUAUCCCGUCGUAAGGACCGAAGGGGAGACCAGCACCCAUAUAUGCUAGUCAGUAUCCGGUUGUGUGGACCGAAGGGGAGGCCAACACCCAGAUAUGCUAGGCAGUAUCCGGUCGAGAGGACCGAAGGGGUAGGUCGGACACCCAGAUAUGCCCGACAAUAUAUGCAUGUUAUGUGAUUAUGUGGUAUGUGGUACAGUGGGGGAACUCACUAAGCUUUGUGCCUACAGUUUUCAGAUUUGGUUUCAGGUACCUCUUCUUCGAAGGGGAAGGAGCUGGCGCGGUAGCGACAUAUCACAUACAUGCUUUGUAUUCCGCACUAUGAGAUCUUCCUGAGGAUUUGUUCUCUCACAUUAUUAUGUUUUAUAAAAUGUUUUUCCAGACACACGAUAUCUUUUAUGAAAGGACAUGUUCUGUGAAUGUUUUAUUCCUAAUUUUUUGCUAAGUAUAUGUUUUUAAAAAUGAAAUUUUUGGCUCGUAUUUUUGGGACGUUACAGAACCCGAAGCCUUCGGUCCCGAACCUCGCAUGAAGAACCGAAGCCACCUUCGGGCCGAACUCUCAUACCUUCACUCCAUUUCUCCUUCGGUUCAUGACUAGAAGGGACCGAACCCCGGCCAGGACCGAGAGGUCUCGCAGGAAGCCCAAUUUUUCCCAGUUUUCGACAACGACUUCAUUUUAAGCUCGUUUUUCAUCUUUUUAACACAGGAUUUUCACCCUAAAACUUUAUUUUAACAUAUAAGGCCCCAUAUUUAUUAAUAAACCAUGUUUUUGGGGAUAAAUCUUAUCCAAGAAGAGUGGGUGAAGUACAAGAGGUAGAGUGUUGACUUUUCUUUAGUUUAUGACACAAGCAACCACCCAUACCCACUCCAUGACCACCCCACACCCCUCCCUACCAUCCCUAGUCAUGUCAAUGUCCUUUCUCAUCAUUUUCCAGCCAUUCCCACGUUCUAAGAGCUGGAACACUCACCCUCAUUUCCCACACUUCACUCAUUUUCACUCAUUCCACCAAAAGAUCAAACCCCUUUUCUCUCAACUCUCCUCUCUCAAGUCCGAGAAUUUCAAGCACUUCCAAGGAUUUUUUCUUCAUUUGGUAAGUAUCAUCAUCUUCCUUCUGAUUAUUACACUUCCUUCUACUCCAAUCAUAGAUUGCUUACACAAAUUCCAUCACAUUGGUGUUAGAUUCUCGAAUCUUCAAGCAAUCCUCCAAGUGUUCUUGAGUUGAACACUUCUCUUAUUCAACAAUCUGUUGGAUUAAUGUCUAAGUCCAUAACUGUAAUUGGUAAGACUUNNNNNNNNNNNNNNNNNNNNNNNNNNNNNNNNNNNNNNNNNNNNNNNNNNNNNNNNNNNNNNNNNNNNNNNNNNNNNNNNNNNNNNNNNNNNNNNNNNNNUUUCCUAAAUGAAGAUGAUGUCCUUUGGAAAUCAUACUUCUUCCAACUCCUCCAAUUAUUCUCCCAAACCCACAAGUUCUUGACAAGUUCAAGGUCACUCAAGCCCUAUUGGCAAGGCAAGGUCUAGGUGUGAUCACAUCUUGGAGAUGUAGUCACAUAUUGACAAGCCGGGAGAGUUGGGUGUCAAAGUCUUGAGAAAGUUGGUGGUUCAAUCACUUUCUAAGUCACAUAGUGAGUUCCUUUGGGACACCUAUGAAACAGACUAUGACAAGACCCUUAAUGAUCUUAUCUAUUUGUUAAGAUCAACUUCCUUAAAACUUGAUGGACAUUGACAAUAGUGACACAGGAAAUCCAGAAAAGCAUUCUCUUCCCAAUGGAAAGGGAUCGGCCAUAGUCAACUCGGUUGACCAAAUGGUAAAGAGAAAAGCUAAGUCUGUGAUAGUCCCGUGUACCAUUAUCAAAGGGUCCAUAUGUUUAUAUUGCCAAAGGAAGGGGCAUUGGUUGCGAAGCUGCCAAAUUUACCUAAGGAUGUUAAAGUCAAUAAGUUUGACUCUACUUCAGGUAAAGUCCACUAUCUAACUCUGUUAAGUUUCUAUUCUGAGAUUCUUGAUACAUGAUGUGACUGGGUCACAUGGUGAUGUUUUAAGAAUCAAAGAAAAGUGAAGAAACUUACAGAAAGAAUAUGCUGAAUCAGAUCCCGUAGAUGGAUUUCUAUCGCGUAGUUUGAGGAUCGGAUUCUUGAGCUACUUCUUAGGAGUUAUGAGAUAUUGCUUAGGAAUAGAUAACAACAAGUUUUCAUAUGGAUUGUAAGGAUAAGUUUUUCCGCAAAGUUUUAAAAUAAAAGAAAAUUUUUUAUUUUAUUUAUUUUAAAAUAUCCUUACAAUGGCAUUUGAGGAAAAAUUGUUGCUUAUAUGAUUCCAUUAAGAGCAAGAGUGGAAAUAUGAAAUUGAUUCUUUCAUUUGUGGUAAUGUCUAAAUUUACCAAAUAAGGAAAGAUUCUCAUCACCCAAGUUUCAAUUGGACCGGAACUUGGAAUCAUGCAAGUUGUAUAGCAUGAUGAAUGAGAACUUUCAAGUUUUGGAAAAUUAAGACUAAUUACUUGUUCACAUGGAUGUGUGAGUCAAGUAAAGGACUUAGGGAUCGAGUACACAUUCUUGUGCACUGAUUAAGUCCACCACAAAAGAUCGAUAAGAAGAAUCAAAUUAGGCAGAAGGAUAAAAGUUUCUCAAAUCUGAAAAGAUGGGAGAGUACUUUAGUAUCAGUUUUGUGAUCAUCUUAAUGAUUAAGAAACCAUAUCACAAUUAGUUCUCUAAGGAAAUCUUAGUGCAUUCUUAUGACUAAGAAGAGGAACUUGAAUUGUUGAAAUGGUUAAAUCAAGAAGAUGAGUCAUACUUCGUUCCAAUACAAGUCUUAGAGUCAUACUCCAAGAUUGUCAUUUGAGUGACAUGUCUUAAAGAAGGUUUAAAACACUUGUCAAAUGUAAGAGUAAAAGUUUUCUACUCUUGUACAUUUGAAAUUGGUAAGUUGUGAUGUUUUGGAUAAAACAAAGACCAACUUAGGCCAAUUGGGUAAAGUGUUUUUCUUGAUUAGAAUCCGCACUAUCUCUUGGAUGUUUGACAAGGGAGUCUUAUAUGUCAAGAGGACAGUGGGAGUCUUAAAGGUCUUGAAAGUCUCAAGAACUAAUCAAGAAUAAAACCUGAAGUUCUUCACUAGCACACGACUUGAGGUUUAUAACCUAUCGUGUUGACAUAUUCUGUGCCCAUUCCAGUUAAAGUUGGCUUUGCAUAUGAGUUCUUAGAGUUCUCAAUUUGUUGCACAACAACUUGGAAGCAAUGGCAGGCCCUUGAGCUGCCAGGUGGCAAGAAAUUAAGAUUGAGUUCAGUCCAUAUGAGUUUGGAUUUGUCAUUAUCCUUGUCUUGUGACUAUGGUUUUGACAAUUCACAUGGAUAAGAACACAUACACCAGUAAAUCUAAGUGUCAUAAGGUUUCUCUCCGAUUCAUGAAAAUGAUGGUGAGGAAACACUUUCACUAAGUAGAUUUUAGCUAGAUAGCAAUUGUGAUAUUUGCAUUCUCAAAGUCGUUAGUGGAGCGUGUGUGGUAUACCGGCACACUAACCUGGACUUGUGAGAAGUGGAAAAGGUCUAAACAAUCGAGACUAUGAUUACGGCAUCCCUUUUCAUAGUUCUUAAAAUUGUUUAAACACACAAGUGUGCUAUCUAAGGCAAGGUGUAUGAUUUUGAUAAAGUUUUAUCAAAACAAUCUAGUAUCAGAAAUAUGAACUUUGGUAAGAAAUUCAGCUGAUUUUUGAGUACAUGUCAAAUAUAGUGGGAGCAUAAGUCUUACGCUCAUAAUCAUCAUGUUAGUGGGAGCAUGAUAAUUAUGAUAAAGAUUUCAACUUAGCAAUGUUAAUUAUAGAAAACAAAAGUUUCAAUUGGAAAAGAGUUGUUUUGCUAUAAUUAAGGGAGAGGAAAUUAUAUUUCAUCUCAAAUCUAAAAGCUUAGAUUGAGGUUUUAAUCGUAUUUAGUCAAGGAUUUAUAUAUAUGAAUUUCAUGUUGGAAUGGCUCAACAUAAGGAAAUUCUGUAUAUGGGUCCAUUAUUUGCGUUCUAAAAUUCGAUUAUGAUUACGGCAUCCCUUUUCAUAAUCUGAAUUAUGAGAACUUGGCAAAUUGAAAUGGAAAUAUUAUAGCAAAAGACUGGUUUAGUCUUUAUGUGAGACAUCAUGAAUCGUGUCCCAUAUGCUUCGGAUAUAGGAUCGAUUACAUGUGCUAUAUUUAUCCGUUCUAAAAUUUUCCAAAUGCCUGGGGCAUUAAGAAGGGAAAAGGUUUAGAACUGGAUAUGACUAAAAGGAUUAAACAAUUGUCGAGGACAAUCUAAGGUUUACCAAAGAUUGGUUGCUCAAGGACAAUUGGAAGUAUAGUGAUAAUUCUGGAAGGACCAUAUUGACAUAAUCUGUAAGGAGGCAACUCUUGUUCAGAAGUGAUAGUCAAAAUGGAAUCCAGAAAUGUUUCAAAGUUAGAAAUUUUUCAAUCUGUGUAAGAUUAGGAAACUUAAUGCAAGAAGGAUGUUUCCAAAUAGCUAAUCUCCUUUGGAAUGCUUUGUAAUGGUUGUCAAAUCUUUAUGGCUUUGUGCAUAAUCAUUACAAGAGGAUCAAUGCAUAUAAGUUUAGAAUCUAACAGAUUUCAGUAAAUGGCAUGAAUUUGGAAUUCUUGCAUUUGCAGUAAGGAUUUGGGAGUGUGAAAAGAGAAUCAUUGAAGUUAUGUUCAAUUGAUCUAGUUCACAAAGUAAAGAUCAUAGACAAACAUAGUAUGCAUACUUGGUGUGUGGCAUGACUAGUGUUUAAGAAAACAUAGUGUACAUGCUUGGAGCAUGGGACAACUAUUGUUUUAAAUUCAAGAAUAAAGUUGAUAGCUGAAACAGUAUACAAUGAAUAAUGUGUAAUCAUAUGGUGAUAAAUAAAAGGUGUUUUAUUUAUGUUCAAAGUUUUGAUACCAUAUUGGAUUCAAUUAUUAUUGUGUUUCACUUUGCAUGUUUUGACUUCCCGAAUAAACUAGGUUAUUCUUCCGGAAUGACUAAGUUAUUCAAACCAUCCACAGUCGGUCAUAUGUUGGAAGUAGAUAUGAAUUAAGACUGUCAUGGGUUGGCUUGUAGAGGUCUAAGGUGUUGGACAAAGGGCUACAACACUCAUGAGUGCUCAUAAGUUCUGAGUAUUGGAUUCAACCCGCGCUCAUUGGAAUCACUUCAUGGAUUUUAUCACGAGUGAUCAUGAGACGAUAAUAUCUUAUAUUCUUCAAACCUAGAGAUAUGAGUUGUUACUAUGAGUUGAUAGUACAUUGAUUGCACGAAAACGCAUUUGGUAACUCGGUGCUAUAAAACGUGCCUUUGUGUAUGAUUCAACAAGUAGUAGAACAAGCCAUAUGAGUCGAAGUUUAUCCAUUCCUUUUACCUUCGGGAUAAAAGCGAUAUCUGUGGGCCCCUCGAUGAUUUGAUGAUGACAAAUGGAAGUGCUCGGCCGGGCCAGGACUGAUUUGAUUUGUUCAAUUAGUCAGUCGUCAUAAAUCGGAAAUCGGGAAACAACAAAUGGACAGAGAGAAUGAUUAUAAUCCAUGUCUCAGUCCAUAUGAUAUCUAGAAUGGAGGAAUAUAUGAUCCCUUAUCUAAUGGACAAGUCAUUGACAAAGGUCAGAGUUCAUCUACAAGGUCAGAGUUCGACAGAAGCUUUUGAGAGCUACGAUUGCCAGUCGGUUCUUGAAGUCAUACACAAUAAUAGUUUUAGACUUAUCCAAGUCGGAGACUGUUGGAUUAAUGUCUAAGUCCAUAACUAUAAUUGGUAAGACUUGACCCGACCCGGCAUGGUCCAUUUGGGUUGCAUGGAAUCAUGCAUUUGGAUAGACUAUAAUGAGAGAAAUAAGACACUUAUGGUUAUUAAUAUAUUAUAAGUUCUAGUAUAUUAAUAAUAAGAAUAAUAAGAUUAUUUAAUUAGUAUUGAUCAAGAAUUAAUAUAGGAUUAAUUAAGUGAUCAAAAGAAGACUAAUUAAAUAUAUGGGUUGAUUGUACAAAUCAUCCAUACUUAUAUAGUGGGCUAAUGCUCCAUGGAUUAUCUAGUUGGGCUAAAACCCAUAUGAUGCUCCAUGGUGUUUUUGUACCCAUGGAUCAUAGAAAUGAAAGGUCAUGUCAAUUAGGGUUUACAUGGUGUAACCCUAACUAUAUAUGUAUCUUAUUCUUGACCAAAAUCGGCCACUAGUAUGUGUAAAAGGAAGGGCUAGCCAAUUUCAUGUAGUGUAGAAUUCUCUCAUCUCCUCCUCUCUAUAAAAUACGUAGUUAGAUGCAGAAUAUGUGGGAGAGAUUUUUCCAGCUGAUAAUUCAUAAGAAUACAUGCAACUCUGUAUUUUGUUGGCCAGUUUUUGUGGAGAGAAACUCCAAAGAGAUUAGGUAUCCAGAGAGAUGAAAUCUUUCUUUUCUCUCUUUUCUUCUCUCUAAAACCACUCAUUCCUUCUAUUCCUUUCACCCAUGAAAAUUUCCAGAAAAAACCACCAUUUUGCAUAAAAAUAUCCAUCAUCCAUAAGGACUCAUUAAAGUAAAAAUACCUAACUAAAUCAUGCAUGCAAAUUUCUACUAUUUUCUUUUGAUUUUAUGUGCUAAACCUUUAUCUUCAUCUCUUCUUUUUAUAAGAUCAUCACCAUUUUCGAAUUUUAUGAUGAUGUGUGUAUAUUUUUACCAAGAACAUCUUGCAUGUUGCUUAGAUGGUGAAAUCUAUGAUCAAACCUAUGUUAAGACAAUGAUUUAAGCCACACAUGUGCAUAUUAGUUCAAGAACCGACUUCUACUUCUUCAUCUUUUUCAAAUUUGUUUUCUUUUGAUUAAUAUGGUUUUUAGAAUAUCAUGGACUUGUUUUAACACAACGAAUGUAUGAUAAAAACGGUUGCAUAUUCAUAAUCUUAGUGGGAAAAGCGAUUUUAAGGAUUAAAACAUCAAACCCAAGUUAAGAGUUUUUGAGAAACAAAAUUUUGUUCAUAAAUGAAUGUAUGCAUUUUGAUAAGUUUUAAUCUUUUGAUCACCGGAAACAUGACUCGAAUAUGAGUUUAUCAUGAUAUCCUUAAAAUAUUUCAAAGGAUUUACUCAAAGUAAUGAUGAAAACUCAUUUUUCUAACCAAUCAUUAUACAUGCAAUCUGUCAGAUUACUUCACUUGACUUUGAACUGCCAUAUCUCACUCAUGACUUAACCGAAAAUCGUGAUUAUUUUUCUGAAUUAUAAUGAUAUGAGCUAGAUUUCCAACCCAAGUGGUCUCACUGCAAAACAUUAAGAUUUCGAUUUUUAAAAUUUUUUACAAAACUGCUGCUCAAACAACACCUUUUUGUGAAUAUUAGUUUUGUGUUGCAUGUUCAAAGAACUUAUUCAUUACUAAAAAUCCUUCAAAAAUUAUUUUGAACUCCUAACAUCGUAAACUCAAACGUACAAAAAGAUCUGAUUAAAAAUUCUUUGGAACAUGUUGCAAAAAUUCUCAAAGUGACAUCAAUAACUUUUAACAAAAUCACAAAAACCAAGUUUUCUCUAUAAUAUGUUAAGCCUUUAGGCAUGUUUUUCGAAAUCCAAAAUAAGAAAAUUAUUUUCCACUAUUAUUAAAUUGUAUGAAGAUGUAUUCUGGAAGUUUUCAGUUCAAUAUAUAUUUUCUUUAUUUUUACAUGAAAAUAAUAAGAAAAUAGAGUGUUAAACUAUAUAAAAUACUUCAACUAGUAAAUAAAUUCUGAAAAAUUCAUGAAUGACCUAUACUGUAAACCAUCAUCCCCCAGGAAGUUUUAGAAAUGUUUAUUACAAUUUACCAUUAGCUUUUAUUUGAUUGUUAUUAAGGAAAAUAAAUAACAAAAAUCGGGUUUCAAGUUAUAAAAAUAACAUUUAUUAUUUUUAAAAGCUUUUUUAUAUUUUAUAAGCUUCACAUAAAAAUUUGAUGAAUUUUCCAUAACAUUUUACUAUUUUUCUAAGAUUUAAUGUAUAUUAAAAUAAUUAAAUUAGUGAAAAAUAUUUAAACUUAUCCAAAAUUCAUAAAAAUUUACCAAAAAAGCUUUUAUUACAUUAUCACAACAAAUAAAGAUUUUAAGAAUUGAUCUUAACUUAUUACUAUUUAUUUCUAAUUUCUUAGUAUUAAACACACUUAAAUUCUAAAAAUACGGAUUUACUAUUCAAAAAUGACUUUAAAUAAUUUUCCCAGAUUAUGUGCACUGUAAAAUAGUUACACAAAAAUUAUAAGAAUUUUUCAUGAUAAUUUACUAUUUUUCCAUGAUUUUAUUAUUAUUCUCGGAAUUAAAAUGGUGAAAAAUAGUUAGACAAAUCAAAAAUUCAAGAAAAUUUAUCUUAACAUCUUUGAUUUCAACUAAAACUGAAACACAAAUUUUGGGAAAUUUUAGAACUAAAUUGAUUUUAUUUUUGAAUAUUUAAUCAUUGGAACACCUCUAAAAACGUUAAAUAUUAAAAUUUCAAUAAUAAGAAUUUUCCACUUAAAUUUUUAUAUAACAAUUGAUUCAUGGAAAUUUAAUUUUCACAAAAAAAUGUUUAUAACUUAUCAAUAUCAAAAUUUUGACACAUUAUUUGCAUAAUUCUAUUGUAGUAGUAAGUAUACAAUUAUCAGAUUUAAAUUAGAGACUCAUUAGUAUGUAACAUCGUUGUAGGAAAUCAAUAGUGGGUAAGCGGAGCGUACUUCAAAGCACCAUUUGCAUUAUCUCAAAUCAUUGUGAGUAUUCACUCCUCCCCUAUUUUCGGUUUUUAUGUUUUGGGGUGGAAAAGCAUGUUUGAAAAACUGUUUAUUAUUCGUUGUAAUUUAUUUGACUUGUAUCAGACUUGGUUGCUAUAUUUUGUUGUGAAUGUGUAUGCUAUUGUUAGUUCAUGAAGCCUUAUUGCAUUUAAAUCCCUAGAAUCAGUUCACACAACUCAUUAACUCAUUUGAGCCCAUGGUCAUUAUGGAUAGCGCUAUUAGGAGGUAGACAACUCCUCACUUGCACGAUUUGCUUGAGUGUAUUUUACCAUAUUUCCGAAUGUUGGCGAUAGACAUAGAAGAGGGCACCCUCCGGCAUUAGGCUUGGGUUGUGAACUCAUGGUAUAAUCAUUAUGCACAUACGAACCUUUUAUCUCGUUUUAGAAACAAACUUUAUUUCCCAUGAAAAUAUGAACUUUGCAUCUCAUUUUGGGAACCUGCUUUAUUUCUCAUGAUGACAACGAACCUUGUAUCUCGUUUUAGCAACAAAAUUUAUUUCCCAUGAGAAUAUGAACUUUGCAUCUCAUUUUAGCAACAUGCUUUAUUUCUCAUGAUGACAACGAACCUUGUAUCUCGUUUUAGCAACAAACGUUAUUUCCCAAGAGAAUAUGUACUUUUCUUCUCAUUUUGGCAACAUGAUUUAUUUCUCAUGAUGAGAACGAACCUUGUAUCUCGUUUUAGCAACAAACUUUAUUUCCCAUGAGAAUAUGAAAUUUGCAUCUCAUUUUGGCAACAUGAUUUAUUUCUCAUGAUCACAAUGAACCUUGUAUCUCAUUUUAGCAAAAAACUUUAUUUCCCAUAAGAAUAUGAACUUUGCAUCUCAUUUUGGCAAUAUACUUUAUUCCUCAUGAUGACAACGAACCUUGUAUCUCGUUUUACCAACGAAAUUUAUUUGCCAUGAGAAUAUGAACUUUGCAUCUCAUUUUGGCAACACACUUUAUUUCUCAUGAUGACAACGAACUUUGUUUCUCAUAUUGCAACAAACUUCUAUUUAUGGAAACUUUAUUACUCGUUUUAGCAAUGAACUUCUAUUCAUGAAAACUUAUUUACUUAUUUUAGCAAUGAUAAUUUGUUUAUGGAAACUGUUAUCAGUAUUACGAUUUUCAUGAUUUCAAACUAUAUUAUGUUAUAAACCUGUGAGUACUCACCAACUAUUUUUAUAGUUGACGCUCGUUUUACAUGCUUUUUUAGGAAUCAUCUAGUAAGAGGCACGUAUAGACACAAGACUUGUAGGAGCAUUUACAUGUUUUGACUUUCAAAUACAUUGUAAUUUAUUUUUAAAAAGUUGUUCUAACUAAAUGUAAAUUGUAAUGCUUUUUAAUACUAUGGUUGGUGUUGCCUUUUAACUUUUGUUAUGAAACCCUUUUUACUGCCACACCCUGUAUUUCCGCUUUAGCAGGGUGUGACAAGUGAUGGUAUGAUCACACCCGAAAUACUAUCCAUGCUUAUUGCUUUUAUUCUUUACAAGACACAGGACCUUCUUUGUUUUUCGUAUGCGAGGCGUGGGACCCAUGUGACCGAUCGACUUCGUUCCAAAAAUACGAAAACCAUUAAACAUAAAUCGUAGACCACCCAAGCAUAGAAAUAGCAAAAAGAAACAAAAAACUGUAGACAAAAUCUAAAAAGGUGCAAACAUAUAGCGAAAAAGGUUGUUGCAAAACGAUGACUUCCCAGGGGGUCACCUAUCCUAGUACUACUCUCACC
rnacentral:lncRNA from 1 species